GUCUAUAGAACUACCACCAAGAAACACCCAAUCUCCUAGGAUCCUGGAACUUAAACAGGCUUGGGCCUGUUAGUACUUUGACAGGAGAAAAACAUAUCCCAAACUAUGUUGUUUAGACA
rnacentral:rRNA from 1 species